GCCAUUUUCUGACAUUUGAAAAGAUCUGAAGAUACGCCCCUUGGAUGCCUGCAGAGAAGCUCUGGGGCUUCAGUCAAUGACUCAGGGUAGCCACCGAACAUGAUGCUCGGGCAGUGGGUGCCACCUGGACUCCACUCUCCCCUCUCUCUGGGAUCAUAGAGUCCAAGGUGUUCUGUGGCCUCUCGGCCAAUCCCAGCAGCUCAGCGUGCAGAAGACCGAGGAGCCAUUGGUCAGUGUAGGAGGUGCCUGGAGUUUUGGAGAUGGGAUCCACAGGAAUUCAACACAACACGAAAUAAUCAACAAAUUCGGGGAAUGUUAAUCUGACCAUCACCAGUUACAAAUGAUGUUUCAUGCUACCUUCUAUUCCUGCCUUCAUAAAUCAAGGUAAUUACUUGGCAAUCUGGCUAUGCCUUGUAAGGCAAAAGAGCUGUUCAUUUCUUGUGUCAAAUGGUGAACAGGGAGGGAGAGUAAAAUGGUAAAUAACCCUGCCUCCCAUCUGUGCCCAAUCAGCUCUAAAUCUCCAGGAAAAAAUGUGCUCAGGAUGGCCAGAGAAAUGUCCUUCCAACUGUGCAUGGAAAGGUAUGAUUUUGUGCAGCAGGUGAAGGACUGGUUAGAGUAAGUGUGUGCUGAGCUUUUGUGUUUGAAAGCGAGCCUGUGCACUUCUAA
rnacentral:lncRNA from 1 species